rnacentral:rRNA from 1 species
AUGUGUGGGUGUGUCUGGGCCCUCUCGAUUUGGAGUUGGGAGCGACUGCCGGUUGGUCGCCCUGAGAAACUGCCACGGACAGAGUGGACGGAGUAUGGCGAGGAUGGCGACCGUUCUCGAUACCCUACCGUCGCCUAUUCUUGGGACAAGGUUAAGGUCUUCUCGGGCAAGGGAAGUGCGAUGUACAAGGCCUUCACCAACGAGCUAGACAACCUGACAUCUUUUCAGGUUAACUGGUGGCCGUACCACGAUAGAGCUUGGGGGUUCGAGCUGAACGAGAUGUGCGAGCGGGACCGCCUUCUCUUCCGGUGCAUUGUCCCGCUGAUAUGCGUGUACGCCGUCGAAUGGCACCUACCACAACGUGUGGCGAUACAAUUUGGCGUAUUGCAACACACACCACCGACAAGGCCCCACAACACCGGCGGUUACGACCUUCACAAGAAGAGCAGGCAGUAUUCUCAGUCGAUAUUGGACUGGGUGACGAGCACAAGUCUUUUGUGA